rnacentral:rRNA from 1 species
CCUACGGGUGGCAGCAGUAGGGAAUCUUUCACAAUGGGCGAAAGCCUGAUGGAGCAACGCCGCGUGCAGGAUGAAGGCCUUCGGGUUGUAAACUGCUUUUAUAAGCGAGAAAUAUGAUGGUAACUUAUGAAUAAGGAUCGGCUAACUACGUGCCAGCAGCCGCGGUCAUACGUAGGAUCCGAGCAUUAUCCGGAGUGACUGGGUGUAAAGAGUUGCGUAGGUGGCAUAAUAAGUAGCUAGUGAAAUCUGGUGGCUCAACCAUUCAGACUAUUAGCUAAACUGUUAAGCUCGAGACCGUUAGGGGUAAGUGGAAUUUGUAGUGUAGGAGUGAAAUCCGUAGAUAUUAGAAGGAACACCGAUAGCGUAGGCAGGUUGCUGGGACGGUUCUGACACUGAGGCACGAAAGCGUAGGGAGCAAACGGGAUUAGAUACCCCUGUAGUC